rnacentral:rRNA from 1 species
CCUACGGGUGGCUGCAGUGGGGAAUUUUGGACAAUGGGGGCAACCCUGAUCCAGCCAUUCCGCGUGAGUGAAGAAGGCCUUCGGGUUGUAAAGCUCCUUUGUCCGGAGCGAAACGGGCGGCCCUAAUACGGUCGUCUACUGACGGUACCGGAAGAAUAAGCACCGGCUAACUACGUGCCAGCAGCCGCGGUAAUACGUAGGGUGAUUGCGUUAAGCGGAAUUACCGGGCGUGAAGCGUGCGCAGGCGGUUGAAAUCCCCGGGCUCAACCUGGGAAUGGCAUUUGGGACUGCAAGGCUGGAGUGUGGCAGAGGGGACUAGAAUUCCUGGUGUAGCAGUGAAAUGCGUAGAUAUCAGGAGGAAUACCGAUGGCGAAGGCAGGUCCCUGGUUUAACACUGACGCUCAUGCACGAAAGCGUGGGGAGCAAACAGGAUUAGAUACCCUGGUAGUC